rnacentral:rRNA from 1 species
GUGGGGAAUAUUGGACAAUGGGCGCAAGCCUGAUCCAGCCAUGCCGCGUGAGUGAUGAAGGCCUUAGGGUUGUAAAGCUCUUUCAGUAGGGAAGAUAAUGACGGUACCUACAGAAGAAGCCCCGGCUAACUUCGUGCCAGCAGCCGCGGUAAUACGAAGGGGGCUAGCGUUGUUCGGAUUUACUGGGCGUAAAGCGCACGUAGGCGGAUCGUUAAGUCGGGGGUGAAAUCCUGGAGCUCAACUCCAGAACUGCCUUCGAUACUGGCGAUCUUGAGUCCGGAAGAGGUGAGUGGAACUCCUAGUGUAGAGGUGGAAUUCGUAGAUAUUAGGAAGAACACCAGUGGCGAAGGCGGCUCACUGGUCCGGUACUGACGCUGAGGUGCGAAAGCGUGGGGAGCAAACAGGAUUAGAUACCCCAGUAGUCC